GAGGCUGGGGUAGCUCCGGGUUGUACGGGUCAUAGCCAAGUCCUGGAAGGGAAGAGAACACAGAACAGCCACUGCCAGAGAUGUGCCAAGGAAGAGAACCAGCCAUCCAGAACCUGCUGCACACCCACCAGGCAUGGGCCUCAAGGACAUCCCCUCAGUGCCACUAACACCACUCCCUGUGCUGGGGUCACCCACUGCAUGCACUCCAGGACCUGUGCGGAGGCUGCUAGAUGGGUGCUAGGACCUACCAGGAAUUAAACAGUGCAAGGCUCUGGACUGGCCUUCAGCACCAUCCCAGCCGAGUACCAAGGCUGCACAUGGAGUACCUGAAGGGGAGUGGCUAGACACGCCAGAGGUAAGGUAAUUCACUCCCUACCCUACACCACGCAGCUACAAAGCUGCAUGUCCAGUCUGGGUGAUGCGACACCCCAGCCUCCAUGGUGCCUGCACUACACCCACACUUGCACAGAAUAAAAAGUAAAAGUCUGCACACAAUGAAGAAACAAAUAAGGGAGCCCACGUCUCCUGAAGGACAGGACAAGGGGCUGGGGUAGCCUUGCCAGGACGGCUGACCUGUGAACGGGCGAAAUCAGGAAUUUCUCUGGACUUCUCUCCCUUUGUUAUUUGAUUUGAGAUCUCACUGUGGCACAGCCCUGUCCAACUGGGACGUCCAGCUCAUGGUGACCUUGAACUUCUCAUCCUCCUGCCUCCACUUCCCAGGUGCUGGGGUGACCCAGGGUGAGAUUCCAGGCUUGACUGGACUGGGUUCUUAAAAAGUAACGUUCUAAGGAUCAGAGGCAGUGGGCCAGCCAUGCAGGGAGCUGAGGCAGGAGAAUCAGAAGUUCAAGGCCAUGUUAGGGUAGCAAAACAGUCUCAAAAGAAACUUGCCUAGCACACCCAGAGCACCAGGGGAGUGAGGAGAAGGAUGAAGAAAGGAGGGAAACCUUAGAAACUAAAGCAUUCAACCAAGGCUGAACUGAACACUGUGCCCAGAGCCACCUGCAAGCAAGUGAACACAGAGGGUACUGGAAGAGAAGAUCCCCAAAUGUGACACACACACACGCACACUCUUACACACUCAUACUCUUACACGCACACACACUCUUACUUGCGCGCGCGUGCACGCACACGCACACGCACACACACACACACACACACACACACACGCACACACACUCUCUCUCUCUCUCUCUUACACGCACAUGGCCCUCUUCGUUCUUUGGAGCAGCUGUCUUGUUGACCUGAGGCGCUGUGUGGAGGUCAGUCAGCAGCCCUUUGCUCCUACCACGUGGGUUCCAGGGAUCCUUCUGUCUGGGUGGCUCUGGCUUGGUGGCAAGUGCUGAGCCAUCCAACAGACCUUUUUGUUUGCUUGUUUCUUUGAGACAAGUCUUACUUUACUUUAACUCAGGCUGUCUGGGAACUCAUGGCGAUCCUCCUGCCUCAGCCACCCAAAUGCUGGACUGACAGGUGUGAGCCUCCUACCAUGUCUGUUAAGUCCAUGGACUCUGAGCACACAUCUACCUGGUUCUGGCCGUCUACAGCUCAAACAUGGGCACAGGCCCUCAAAGUAGUGACCUAAACUUGAGGGACCCACAGCUGAAGGUGUUUGGCAGGGCCCAACCUCCUCCUGAGGUAAUUUCUGGGGACCUUGUGAAGGUUUCAAAGGCUCCCCAGGGACUCCAGGCACAUGGAGCAGAAGAGUAUGUCGCAAGUAACAGGGUAGCCUAAGAGGCUGUUGAGUCAUUAGGUAGAUGGGCCCCUGGCAGGGAACUUGUUAACUUGGAGGGGAAGACGUAUCCCACAUUUGGGUGGUACCAUCAUAAUGGCUGGGCUUCCAGACUCAAAACUAAGGAGGCAAGCUGCUACCUGCACUUAUCUGCGGCUUGACUGUGGACGCCAUGUGAAUAGCUGCCACCAUGACUCCUCCCCCUGCCCACAGCCAUGCCUCCCUGCACACUGGGUGAUGGACUGCAGCCUCCAGCUGUGAGCCAAAAUAAACCCUAAGCCGCUCACGCACGCACGCACGCACGCACACACGCACUCGCGCUCUCUCUCUCUCUCUCUCUCUCCCGCGAGCGCGCGCACGUACUUAUGCAGACACACAGACACAAACACACAUGUACUUACGCAGACACACAUACACACACACACACUUAUACACUUACACACAUACAUAUAGACAUACAGACAGACACACACACAGGCAUCAGUAGUAUUGAUCCAGGAGUGGUUGUGCACACCUAUUAUCCUAGGACUUGGGAGACAGGAGGAUCACACCAUUCUGGGCUUCACAAAGAUGGUGUCAAACACUAAGGCAGGCGACUGCAGAAGAGGUGUGGGCACUUCCAUGCAAACGUGGUGCUCAUGGUGCUCACUGGGAGACAGGCUGGGCCACAGAGGUAACUGAGUGCGCCCCAAGGUUAUCCUCUUGGAAAUCCCCACCUGAGUCCCAGGUUAAGCAGUGAUGAGUGAUCCCUACAGACAGAGCACUGGACAGGGAACUGGGGUUCCUAGGCUGAAACAGCACCUGGCACAAGCUCAGCCUGCCCAUGGGAGGACUGACCCAGACACAGCCAAGGAGCGUUUUUCCUGGAGAAUUCCCUCUACAUGUCUGUCCAGACCCCUCAGAGGCCACACCAGAGGCAACAGAGUCUCAGGAGCAGCAUCACACUGGACCUCUCUCCUGACAACAGGAAGUCAGCCCCUGGCCAGCAAGCACCAGCACCCAAGGUUUCCACUCAAGGCCAAAAGGCUGAUAAAGGCCAAGAGACUGCUCAGGGCUCAGGCCAGUGAGGGCUCUGAUAAGAGAGAGCUCGCAGCCCUGGAGGUGGAGAAGGAGGCUCUUCAGACACCACAUGUGGAGAGGCGAAUCAGUGCGGGGUGCUGGGGCUGAGGUUCUGGGAGCACCAGCCCACUCUGGGCUCUCAGAUGGGUUCCGACAGGCACGGUCCUGAAUGCCAGGACUACAGUGGACAGCCAUACAGCCCAAGGUCUCCACAGAGCACUGUGACACAUCUAUCCUAGGCUGACCCUUUCCACCAUACACUGGGAUCCAGACAUCCCCUCAGCUCAGCACCACUGGACACAUGAGGUCACCCUAGCAGGACCAGGUUCCAAGGUUACCUUUGGUGACUCACACACAGAGAUCACACACAUCGGCAGCAAGUCACCAGAGAACUAUGGGAACUGCACACAGUGUGAGACCUGGCCACAGAAGAGGGCCCUCGAGCCUAGACGUGCUGCUCAGCCUCAGUCUAGGUAGACAGCAGAUCUUACCCUAUGAGGCUGCCCUUAAGGAAUGAGCUCAGGGGCUGGAGAGAUGGUUCAGUGGCUAAGAGCACCGACUGCUCUUCUAGAGGUCCUGAGUUCAAUUCCCAGCAACCACAUGGUGGUUCACAACCAUCUGUACUGAUGCCCUCUUCUGGUGUGUCUGAAGACAGAGUGUAAAUGAAUACACAAAUUCUUUAAAAAAAAAAAAAAAAGGAAUGAGCUCAGGAUCCCUGUGUCCCCAGGUCACUCUCCAGAGCCUUCCCUUUCCACAAAACCAGCCCUGUAGGAUGGCAAGGGCUUCCAGGCAGAUGGAGCGACCAAGUAGGGUGCAAGGCGACAACCCCCUGCGUGCCCAAGAUGCUGGGCUCUUUAAGGCAAGAACAGGUAUGGAGUCACCAUGGGCAUCCACCAGUCCAGAAGAGGAGCUGAGGGGAAGGUAGGUGGGGCCCACAUGCUAAUCUCAUCCUGGAGCAAGGCUAGAGGCAUUUCCCAUGGUCCACGAAGGCUGCGAUGAACUUCCUAGUCCAAUAAAGAAAACUCUCUAAGAUGACCUGCCUGGCCUUCCUAACUAGAUCCCAGUGGAGAUGCCCAGGGCCUCUCUACCCUAUCCUAGCUGACACCAGCAGAGUCAGGAUGUCUCCCAGGACCAAGCUACCCCUCCCCAGAGCUCAGAAUAGGGACUGAGGGCCCUGCAUCUUCAGAGGAAGAGCAUGCUGGCCAGUGUCAAGUGAACAUGGUCCUUAUCACUUGUCACUGAGGCUGGCAGGUGAUGUGGGGCUUUCAGAGGCAAAUGCAGCCCUGCCCCCACCACUCCACGUGACAGUUCCUGCUCAGAACUAUGGCAAAGUCCUCAAUCAGACUCUCUUAUCACCCACUCAUGUCUGGAACCUGCCCCAAUGCCCACCUCCAACUCAACAGGCAGACCUAGGAAUACCAGCCACGGACUGUCAAAACAUGGACUCACAAGUCCUCAGAGGAACAGUUAGCUCACUGCAGCUGCAGAAACCCUGUCCCAACUUUCUCCACUACAUAAGACAGUCUCCCAGACCAGCCAGUGGCACUUCAGAGGCACCUAGACCUUUCUAGAAGGUUGGAUAUCAAGUCAGCAUGUCAGCAGGGAGUCCUGCUGACAUCUUCCAGCCACUGGACAAACUCAUAUUGGCCUUCAAAACCCAGCUUAGGGGCUGGAGAGAUGGCUCAGUGGGUCAGAGCUCCCAGCAACCACAUGGUGACUCACAAGGGAUCCAAAGCCCUCUUCUGGGGUUCUGAAAACAGCUACAGUGUACUCAUAUGCAUAAAAUAAAUCUUUAAAACAAACAAGUCCAGUUUAGGAGCUGCCUGACAAGAACCUGCUUCUCCUCAGCCCCCAGCUACUCCUCAGUUCCCAGCUACUCUAUUCCAGUGUGCUUGCUCACCUGCCCCUCCCCAUACAGUGCAGUAGGUAUAUGCUGAGUCAAGAAUAGCCACUCUGAGAGCCUCAGGACACAUGUGCCCACGUCACUGCCACCUCAGGGUUUCUGGCAAAGUGAAACAGGCUUGAGAGCCACCAACUACUCCUAGCACUCCCAGACUACCGUGGGACAGAGCUCCAUCCUUAGGAGAACACUGGAGCACUGGAGCACCGAUGGGUAGACAAGCCACCCUCAAGCAUUAUGGCCUGCCCUAAUGUUUCCCCACGGGUUCCUGACUGCCACAGGUACUCUUUAAGACUCAGUGUGAAGGAAGGAGCCCCUGUAAAGACCAUACUUGCAGGAGUGAACUAGUUCCCCAGCCCUGCAGGCCCUCCUAGCUGUCUGCCUGUCCUACUGUCCUAGACAGGCUCAGGCCACUGCAUCUGCCCUGGGGCUUCCUCCUCUGUGGGAAGGUGUCCUGGGACAGGAUGUCAGCUGCAAACCCCACUCCAGCUGUCCCUGCACCAGCAGUCACCUGAGAUCCCAAGUCCCUUACAGCAGACAGGCCACAGAAUCAGGUCAAAAGGGUCAGGCAAAGGAUGGCCUCGGAAAACAGUAGUGCCUGGCUGGGUCUGCAGCAGCCUAAGCAGGCAUAAUGAAGACAGAGGAGCCAUGAACAGGGCAGCAGGCUGGACAGUUCCCACUCUCCACACGCAGCCAGCCUGUGUGGCAGCUGAGCAGCAGGAGCCAGCAGCCUGAAUCCUGUCCUUAUACUAGGAUGCCCAUCUGCCUUCCAAGCCACCUUCCCCAGCAACAGUGGACCAGUAGACCAGUGGACCAGCUGCCCACCACCAACAAGGUGCCAAAAAGUGCACCCUGAUGCUCUGGCUGGGCGAGCUGGGCCUGGAAGAGGUAGAUGAGAACAGUCACCAGACGCCUGACAGCACCAGUCCAACCAGGGCCUUGAGCCUCACUGACCAGUACACAAUGCUUCCCCACAUGCACAGGCCAGCUAUCCCUGACAACCAUGCUGUGGACUGCAGCACCCUCUGCUGGUUUUUCCUGGAGAAGUGGUCCUUCUCUAGGAAGGAACCCAAAGUGGCAGGAGUCCCUCUGUCCCUAGGCUGCUCAGACAAGGAGAGCCACCCACAAAAGCCACUGUGUCCCCAGGCAGUGCACCAAGCCUGGUCUACCAGGUCAAUGGCAGUCACAGGUCUCACGUGUGAUGGCAGAGCUCUGUGGGAAGAGGCCAGCAGUGCCUGGACCUCUCACCCUCGCUGCUCAAGCAUGUGCUGUGGGAACUGGACUGGUAACCAGGACCCCAGAGGUCCUCAAGGCUCAGAGGGACACAGACACUUUCUUGACCCCUUUCUCUGCCCCAGGAGCACCUCCUCUCUCACUUGACCAAAGCCUAUUCCUUCUAAGAAGCCCCACAGCUCCCUGGCCUGGCCCUUGGCACACAACUGUCCACAGGGAGUCUGGGAGCACAGGGAGGCUGGAUGUGUGUGGAGCCUUUGCUCCUGGCUGCCACCCACACCACAAUGCCAGGGUCUCAGAUGGAGGCUCCAGCGCCCUGAAGACGGGGUGGGGGUUAAUUCUCUGACCCAGACACCUUGAUUUUUCAUUUCUGCUCGUCUCACCCCAGUUUCCUUGGCAGGGACAGCAGCUGUGCUGGGGUCUGGAUUCUGUGAGGACCACUGUAUGAGACCUCCAUGUAAACCAGCCAACAGGAAUCUAGAGAGAAACCCAAGGCCCAGCCCUGCCACUUUUGGGGGCUACCACGCCCACAUGUCCACAGCUCCAACCCCAUCACUGGCAUCAGGAGCAAACUUCCUUCGUCCCUCAGUCUGUCUCCCUCCAUAGCACCCAGCACCUCAACAGGGCGACCAUGUAUCCGCAGCUGAGAUAAAGGCGGCUGCCUCCACUUGCAGCCCUGAGCCACUGGGGGAUUUGCUUUACUGUGGGCACAAAGGCCAUGAAGGGCUACUCCAGAGUGCCUGAAGGAUGCCACCAAGGCUGAGUCACUUGGGCCAGGCCUCCCUAGAAGUGCACUUUCUGCUGUAGUGCACUAAGGAGAGGCAGCAGAGUCCCUAGAGCAGGGAGGGACAGGCUGGACACUACCUGGGGUCAGGACACCAGGAGAUACCACAAGGAGUGAAGCACCUCUCUCUUUCCCUGGGGGACUGUCAGGCACACAGAGCAGCAUCAGACCCCAACCAUGACCUUCUGGGAAACUAAGGGCCUAGCCGCUGUGGCUCAGCUGUGUGGACAGCACAGGAAGGUCCGCAUGGGAGGAAAGCUGAGGGCCCAACAUUGCUCAGGAAUGGAACUGUGCUGGGCACAGCUCAGAACACGGCUUCCAUCCCUGAACAAAAAGGAAGUGAACUUUAAAGCCAAGAUGUCAGUUUAGCGGUGGGGGCACACACCUUUAAUCCUAGUGCUCUGAAGGCAGAGGCAGGAGGAUCUCUGUGAGUUCAAGGCCAGACUUAUACACAAAGCAAGUCCAGGACAGCCAGGGCUACGCAGAGAGACCCUGUCUCAAACCAAACCAAACCCCACAAAACAACAAGAGGGCGAAAGAGAUGCUCAGAGGUUAAGAGCACUGGCAGCCCUUGCACUAAUGGCUGAAGGUAUCAAACUGCCUUGAAAUAGCUCUAAGGAUCCAACGCCCUCCUCUGGCCUCUGCAGGCACACCGAGUCAGACACGCAUAAACAGAGGCACAAGUCUAUAGGAAACAACAAAAGCACUCCAUGUCACAUAGCCUGAGAAGUUGCUGAUGCCAGGCCUUCAGUGCCACCUCUGCACUGAAAUGUGAAAAGUUGUGUCCUUUCUCUUCUGCAGCAGUUUCCCUAGUACCUGGGCUGGGUCCCCAGCGGAUACAGCACAGACACUGGUGCCCAAGCUGGGAGCUGUUGGAAGGCCACUUGCAGGUGCCCUAAGCCAGUGGAUGUGUGAAGAUAGAGAGACUCAAAAUCAAGAGAUGUGGCAGUUCAUACCUGGCCCUCAAACACUCAGAGGGCAGAGGCAGGAAGAUCACAUCAAGUUCAAGGCCAGUCUGGGCUACACAGUGAACCCAUCUAUCCAUGCAAAAUACUUGUAUACAAAAAAAUAAAUAAGUCUUUAUUUAAAAAAACAAA